UUACGGCCACAUCACUUUGAAACACCGGAUCCCCUACGAUCACCGAAGUUAAGCAAACUUGGGUCUAGUCAGUAUCAUAGAUGGAUGACUGCUUGAGAAUAUCAGGUGCUGUAAG